AAAAAAUCCAAAGAAGGAGAGAACAAGAAAACCAUAACCAAAGAUUUCCAGGAAUCUGGGUGGGAGAAACACAAAAAGUUUGUUCCUCUAGUGGAUCUUUUGGUUCGUUUGCUUCCUUUUUUUCUUUCUUUCUUCUUUGUAGUUUUCUCUGUCGAGAAACUCUUCUUCCGUGAAAGGGAAGAGAAGUAAAUUCAGCAGAAGAAGAAAAAUACAAAAGAGUAAGCAAAGAUAUAAA
rnacentral:ribozyme from 1 species